GCUACACAUGCAAGUCGAACGGAGAAUCAGCAAUGGUUCUUAGUGGCGAACGGGUGAGUAACGCGUAGACAACCUGCCUCAAAGAUGGGGACAACACCGCGAAAGUGGUGCUAAUACCGAAUGUUGCAUUAGAUUCGCAUGAAUCUGAUACUAAAGGUGGCCUCUAAAAUAUGCUACCGCUUUGAGAUGGGUCUGCGUCUGAUUAGCUAGUUGGUGAGGUAACAGCUCACCAAGGCGAUGAUCAGUAGCCGGUCUGAGAGGAUGAACGGCCACACUGGGACUGAGACACGGCCCAGACUCCUACGGGAGGCAGCAGUGGGGAAUCUUCCGCAAUGGACGAAAGUCUGACGGAGCAACGCCGCGUGAGCGAAGAAGGUUUUCGGAUCGUAAAGCUCUGUCUUUGAGGACGAAUGUGCUUAAUGUGAAUAAUGUUAAGUAAUGACGGUACUCGAGGAGGAAGCCACGGCUAACUACGUGCCAGCAGCCGCGGUAAUACGUAGGUGGCAAGCGUUGUCCGGAAUUAUUGGGCGUAAAGCGCGCGCAGGCGGGAUAUUAAGUCUGUCUUAAAAGUUCGGGGCUCAACCCCGUGAUGGGAUGGAAACUAAUAUUCUUGAGUGCAGGAGAGGAAAGUGGAAUUCCCAGUGUAGCGGUGAAAUGCGUAGAUAUUGGGAGGAACACCAGUGGCGAAGGCGACUUUCUGGACUGUGUCUGACGCUGAGGCGCGAAAGCCAGGGGAGUGAACGGGAUUAGAUACCCCGGUAAUCCUGGCCGUAAACGAUGGGUACUAGGUGUAGGAGGUAUCGACCCCUUCUGUGCCGGAGUUAACGCAAUAAGUACCCCGCCUGGGGAGUACGGCCGCAAGGUUGAAACUCAAAGGAAUUGACGGGGGCCCGCACAAGCGGUGGAGUAUGUGGUUUAAUUCGACGCAACGCGAAGAACCUUACCAGGACUUGACAUCGAUUGAAAGUUCUAGAGAUAGACCUCUUCUCUUCGGAGAACAGAAGACAGGUGGUGCAUGGCUGUCGUCAGCUCGUGU
rnacentral:rRNA from 1 species